rnacentral:rRNA from 1 species
GCAUAACGUCGCAAGACCAAAGAGGGGGACCUUCGGGCCUCUUGCCAUCGGAUGUGCCCAGAUGGGAUUAGCUAGUAGGUGGGGUAACGGCUCACCUAGGCGACGAUCCCUAGCUGGUCUGAGAGGAUGACCAGCCACACUGGAACUGAGACACGGUCCAGACUCCUACGGGAGGCAGCAGUGGGGAAUAUUGCACAAUGGGCGCAAGCCUGAUGCAGCCAUGCCGCGUGUAUGAAGAAGGCCUUCGGGUUGUAAAGUACUUUCAGCGGGGAGGAAGGGAGUAAAGUUAAUACCUUUGCUCAUUGACGUUACCCGCAGAAGAAGCACCGGCUAACUCCGUGCCAGCAGCCGCGGUAAUACGGAGGGUGCAAGCGUUAAUCGGAAUUACUGGGCGUAAAGCGCACGCAGGCGGAUUGUUAAGUCAGAUGUGAA